rnacentral:rRNA from 1 species
AACGAACGCUGGCGGCAUGCCUAACACAUGCAAGUCGAACGAGACCUUCGGGUCUAGUGGCGCACGGGUGCGUAACGCGUGGGAACCUGCCCUUAGGUUCGGAAUACCUCCCCGACAGGGGUGCUAAUACCGGAUAAUGUCUUCGGAUAAAAGAUUUAUCGUCUUUGGAUGGGCCCGCGUUGGAUUAGCUAGUUGGUAGGGUAAAAGCCUACCACGGCGACGAUCCAUAGCUGGUCUGAGAGGAUGAGCAGCCACACUGGGACUGUGACACGGCCCAGACUCCUACGGGAGGCAGGAGUGGGGAAUAUAGGACAAUGGGCGAAAGCCUGAUCCAGCAAUGCCGCGUGAGUGAUGAAGGCCGUAGGGAUGUAAAGCACUUUUACCCGGGAUGAUAAUGACAGUACCGGGAGAAUAAGCUCCGGCUAACUCCGUG